rnacentral:rRNA from 1 species
UGCUUGGGAGUCGANUAGCCAUGCGAGUCGCGGGCACCCCUUCGGGGGGGACCCGGCGAACGGCUCAGUAGCACGUGGAUAAUCUGCCCACGGGUCGGGGAUAACCCCGGGAAACUGGGACUAAUACCCGAUAGGUCAUAGUUGCUGGAAUGCUCUUUGAUUUAAAACCUUGUGCCCGUGGAUGAGUCUGCGGCCGAUUAGGCUGUUGUUGGGGUAACGGCCCAACAAACCUAUGAUCGGUACGGGUCGUGAGAGCGAUAGCCCGGAGAUGGGAUCUGAGACACGAUCCCAGGCCCUACGGGGCGCAGCAGGCGCGAAACCUUUACAAUGUGGGAAACCAUGAUAAGGGAACUCCCAGUGCUCCUACACAGUAGGAGCUGUUCAGAUGUGUAAAAAGCAUCUGAUAGGAAGGGCCGGGUAAGACCGGUGCCAGCCGCCGCGGUAACACCGGUGGCCCGAGUGGUGGCCGCUUUUAUUGGGUCUAAAGCGUUCGUAGCCGGUUUGACAAGUCAUCUGGGAAAUUCGGCGGCUUAACCGUCGGGCGUCCAAAUGAUACUGUCAGACUUGGAACUGGGAGAGACUAGAGGUAUUCUUGGGGUAGGGGUGAAAUCCUGUGAUCCUAGGGAGACCGCCGGUGGCGAAGGCGUCUAGUUAGAACAGGUUCGACGGUGAGGAACGAAAGCUGGGGGCACAAACCGGAUUAGAUACCCGGGUAGUCCCAGCCGUAAACGAUGCCAGCUAUGUGUCGGGAGAUCCAUGUGUUCUUUCCGGUGCCGUA